rnacentral:pre_miRNA from 1 species
AGGAGGAACAGCCCUAAUGGCGGGGCCAGCUCUGGAAACCUGGAUUCAGCCCCCGCAGGAACUCCGGAGCUCUCCGUCUGCAGGGCCUGGAGGCUCCGGGCGGGG